GUGGUAGGGGAGCUUACUGCGACAGGCAGAAGGUCGACCGAGAGGACGGCUGGACGAGGCAGUAGUGAGAAUGCCGGAAUGAGUAGCGAGAGUAAAGUGAGAAUCUUUACCGUCGAAAGCCUAAGGUUUCCUGGGGAAGGCUCGUCCGCCCAGGGUAAGUCGGGACCUAAGCCGAGGCCGAAAGGCGUAGGCGAUGGACAACAGGUUGAAAUUCCUGUACUGCCGUUACUCGUUUGAGAGAGGUGGGGACGCAGGGGGAAUAGUUAAGCGAGCGACUGGAAGAGCUCGUCCAAGGGAGAUAGAUAGUCCGGCAGGCAAAUCCGCCGGAUGUUUCGAAGUCCUGAUGGGGAGGGAAAAUAAAGUACCGAAGUAACGAUUUCCGCACUGACGAGAAAAGCCACUAUCGAGAGUAAAGGUACCCGUACCGCAAACCGACACAGGUAGGUGAGGAGAGAAUCCUAAGACGAGCGGGAGAAGCGUUGUUAAGGAACUCGGCAAAUUGACCCCGUAAGUUCGCGAGAAGGGGUGCCAAGGCCAGAGAACGGAGAACAGAGAGUCAGAGAGCAGAGAAAGGGAAGAAGGACGAUCUGUUUUCAACAGAAGAAAGAAACGGAGAUAAAAAAGCAUCAUAUCUGUUUUCUGGAGAUCUGUUCUCUGUUUUCUGGAAUUGGCCGCAGUGAAACGGCCCGAGCAACUGUUUAUCAAAAACACAGGUCUCUGCUAAAUCGAAAGAUGACGUAUAGGGGCUGACGCCUGCCCGGUGCUGGAAGGUUACGGGGAAUUGUUAGCCUAAAGGCGAAGCAAUGAACUUAAGCCCCAGUAAACGGCGGCCGUAACUAUAACGGUCCUAAGGUAGCGAAAUUCCUUGUCAGGUAAGUUCUGACCCGCACGAAUGGCGUAAUGACUUGGGCACUGUCUCGACAACGCGCCCGGUGAAAUUGUAGUACUCGUGAAGAUGCGAGUUACCCGCGACAAGACGGAAAGACCCCAUGGAGCUUUACUGUAGCCUGAUAUUGGGUUUCGGUAUUUUUUGUACAGGAUAGGUGGGAGACUGAGAAGCGUGGGCGCCAGCUUACGUGGAGUCGUCGUUGGGAUACCACUCUAAAAGUGCUGGGACUCUAACCAGAGUCUGUGAACCAGGCUUGGGACACUGUCAGGUGGGCAGUUUGACUGGGGCGGUCGCCUCCUAAAAGGUAACGGAGGCGUCCAAAGGUUACCUCAGCGCGGUUGGAAAUCGCGCACCGAGUGCAAAGGCAUAAGGUAGCCUGACUGUGAGAGGUACAUCUCGAGCAGGUACGAAAGUAGGGCUUAGUGAUCCGGUGGUAUGAAAGUGGAAUUGCCAUCGCUCAACGGAUAAAAGCUACCCUGGGGAUAACAGGCUUAUCUCCCCCAAGAGU
rnacentral:rRNA from 1 species